rnacentral:rRNA from 1 species
UACGAAGGGGGCUAGCGUUGUUCGGAAUUACUGGGCGUAAAGCGCACGUAGGCGGAAUGUUAAGUCAGGGGUGAAAUCCCGGGGCUCAACCCCGGAACUGCCUUUGAUACUGGCAUUCUCGAGUCCGGAAGAGGUGAGUGGAAUUCCGAGUGUAGAGGUGAAAUUCGUAGAUAUUGGGAGGAACAUCAGUAGCGAAGGCGGCUUUCUGGGUCACACCUGACGCUGAGGUACGAAAGCGUGGGGAGCAAACGGG